GCCUUUUGUUUAAUGCCUAUCCAGACAUUCUCCUGAAAAACAGGAAAAGAUAGAAUCUGUUUGUACUAAGAUUAUCAAUAUUCUUAAAACAAAUAGUUGUAAGUAUCUAACCCUUUCUCUAUUGUAAGAAUAUUAAAAGCUUCUAAUAUUGAUUUAUUUCUGAAUGAGACCAGAAAAAAUGUUUUCUUCAUGAUGAACCAAAUUCUGUGUGGUGGUCCCUGCUCUCAGCAGUGCAGAGACACAGGAUCCAGUUAUGUCUGCUCCUGCUUUGUUGGGUAUCAGCUUCAACCAGAUGGUGUCAACUGUGAAGGUAAAAGAACUAAAACCAUUACCUCGAUGAUCAACAUCCUUAUUUCAAAAGAACAAGAAUAG